GAUCUUUAUUUUUUUUAUUUUAUAAUUUUUAAAGAAUUAUUUUAAUUAUAAUUUUAUUAAAAAUUUUACUGGGGAGGUAUAAAAAUUUAAUUAACUUUUAAUUUUAUUUAACAUUAAUAUAUGAAUAAUUGAUCCAAUAAUAUUGAUUAAAAAUUUAAGUUACCUUAGGGAUAACAGCGUAAUUUUUUUUUAGAGUUCAUAUCGACAAAAAAGAUUGC
rnacentral:rRNA from 1 species